CCUCAGCUGGCCCCUAAAUAAAAUUGUGUACUAGUUCAGUGAAAAUGGAUGUCACAAUAAACUUCAAAACAUUUAGAUGAACUAAAAUUGAAAAGAUUACAAGACUAACGAACGCUAGGGCACCUAACUUGGGACAGGCACAAAAAUGCGGCAGGGUUCAUAAAACGUGUUUUGUGAGAUCUCAACCCUCCCCCUAUACCUCCAGC
rnacentral:lncRNA from 1 species